UACGAAGGGUGCAAGCGUUGUUCGGAAUUACUGGGCGUAAAGGGUUCGUAGGCGGGAAGACAAGUCAAGUGUGAAAUCCCCAGGCUCAACCUGGGACGUGCAUUUGAGACUGUUUUUCUUGAGUUUUAGAGAGGGUGGUGGAAUUGCUGGUGUAGGAGUGACAUCCGUAGAGAUCAGCAGGAACACCGGAGGCGAAGGCGACCACCUGGCUAAAUACUGACGCUGAGGAACGAAAGCGUGGGGAGCAAACAGG
rnacentral:rRNA from 1 species